rnacentral:rRNA from 1 species
GAUAAACGCUGGCGGCGUGCCUAAUACAUGCAAGUCGAGCGAACGGACGAGAAGCUUGCUUCUCUGAUGUUAGCGGCGGACGGGUGAGUAACACGUGGAUAACCUACCUAUAAGACUGGGAUAACUUCGGGAAACCGGAGCUAAUACCGGAUAAUAUUUUGAACCGCAUGGUUCAAAAGUGAAAGACGGUCUUACUGUCACUUAUAGAUGGAUCCGCGCUGCAUUAGCUAGUUGGUAAGGUAACGGCUUACCAAGGCAACGAUGCAUAGCCGACCUGAGAGGGUGAUCGGCCACACUGGAACUGAGACACGGUCCAGACUCCUACGGGAGGCAGCAGUAGGGAAUCUUCCGCAAUGGGCGAAAGCCUGACGGAGCAACGCCGCGUGAGUGAUGAAGGUCUUCGGAUCGUAAAACUCUGUUAUUAGGGAAGAACAUAUGUGUAAGUAACUGUGCACAUCUUGACGGUACCUAAUCAGAAAGCCACGGCUAACUACGUGCCAGCAGCCGCGGUAAUACGUAGGUGGCAAGCGUUAUCCGGAAUUAUUGGGCGUAAAGCGCGCGUAGGCGGUUUUUUAAGUCUGAUGUGAAAGCCCACGGCUCAACCGUGGAGGGUCAUUGGAAACUGGAAAACUUGAGUGCAGAAGAGGAAAGUGGAAUUCCAUGUGUAGCGGUGAAAUGCGCAGAGAUAUGGAGGAACACCAGUGGCGAAGGCGACUUUCUGGUCUGUAACUGACGCUGAUGUGCGAAAGCGUGGGGAUCAAACAGGAUUAGAUACCCUGGUAGUCCACGCCGUAAACGAUGAGUGCUAAGUGUUAGGGGGUUUCCGCCCCUUAGUGCUGCAGCUAACGCAUUAAGCACUCCGCCUGGGGAGUACGACCGCAAGGUUGAAACUCAAAGGAAUUGACGGGGACCCGCACAAGCGGUGGAGCAUGUGGUUUAAUUCGAAGCAACGCGAAGAACCUUACCAAAUCUUGACAUCCUUUGACAACUCUAGAGAUAGAGCCUUCCCCUUCGGGGGACAAAGUGACAGGUGGUGCAUGGUUGUCGUCAGCUCGUGUCGUGAGAUGUUGGGUUAAGUCCCGCAACGAGCGCAACCCUUAAGCUUAGUUGCCAUCAUUAAGUUGGGCACUCUAAGUUGACUGCUGGUGACAAACCGGAGGAAGGUGGGGAUGACGUCAAAUCAUCAUGCCCCUUAUGAUUUGGGCUACACACGUGCUACAAUGGACAAUACAAAGGGCAGCGAAACCGCGAGGUCAAGCAAAUCCCAUAAAGUUGUUCUCAGUUCAGAUUGUAGUCUGCAACUCGACUACAUGAAGCUGGAAUCGCUAGUAAUCGUAGAUCAGCAUGCUACGGUGAAUACGUUCCCGGGUCU